rnacentral:rRNA from 1 species
AUCGGGGUUGCGGACAGUGUCUGGUGGGUAGUUUGACUGGGGCGGUCUCCUCCUAAAGAGUAACGGAGGAGCACGAAGGUUGGCUAAUCCUGGUCGGACAUCAGGAGGUUAGUGCAAUGGCAUAAGCCAGCUUGACUGCGAGCGUGACGGCGCGAGCAGGUGCGAAAGCAGGUCAUAGUGAUCCGGUGGUUCUGAAUGGAAGGGCCAUCGCUCAACGGAUAAAAGGUACUCCGGGGAUAACAGGCUGAUACCGCCCAAGAGUUCAUAUCGACGGCGGUGUUUGGCACCUCGAUGUCGGCUCAUCACAUCCUGGGGCUGAAGUAGGUCCCAAGGGUAUGGCUGUUCGCCAUUUAAAGUGGUACGCGAGCUGGGUUUAGAACGUCGUGAGACAGUUCGGUCCCUAUCUGCCGUGGGCGCUGGAGAACUGAGGGGGGCUGCUCCUAGUACGAGAGGACCGGAGUGGACGCAUCACUGGUGUUCGGGUUGUCAUGCCAAUGGCACUGCCCGGUAGCUAAAUGCGGAAGAGAUAAGUGCUGAAAGCAUCUAAGCACGAAACUUGCCCCGAGAUGAGUUCUCCCUGACUCCUUGAGAGUCCUGAAGGAACGU